UGUUCCCAAGGCAUCCUUAUCUUUGUGUCUCUCAAUACUCUCCAUCUUCAAAAUUCAAAUUUCUAUAGCAAAGCGAUCUGCUUUUUCAUAUGCCUUAAUGGAUUUCAGAAGCUAAGAUGAGAUGUCGCUUGCAAAUGGGUCUAUUACCGAUGGUGGAGAGCUAGGCAGCUGGGGUGGCAGAGUUUCGCCACUACGUUGCGUUGUGUACUGCCUUACACAGGAGGAAGGACGAUGAGGGCUUACCCCAAUAACCUCUCCCUUUAGACCCUGACGAUGGGGAUGAAGGAACCAUGGUGGGUGUUAAGAGGGGCGUUUCCUAUAUUUGAGUAUCAAUCACCCUGACAAUGGUUAGAUCUACUUCGUCCCCAUUUUUCUCCAUCUUUCCUGUGGGGUGUUAGGCUGUGUCAGAUCUCUUUAUUACUCUCGUAGUACGUAGAAGAUAAUGAGCAGCAGAAGUAGGAGAGAACGUUCAGGUUAAGGCAAAGGUCAUAUGAUUCAGAAUCAGAUCACCUUCCCUGUCUGAGUUAGAUAGCCUUGAAUCAUCGCUCAAAUGGGGUUUUGACAAGUGCAGGAGAAAGUCAUCAUUGUAGUGGUAGCAGUAGUCGGUGGUUGCAGUGUCGGAGCUCACCAACCGAGCAUGUCUCAGAUGAUAGUGACGAACGAGGUCGCUAGAAGAAAAGGACCCGAGGAUCAUUACUGAAGAAAAAAUAAAAGAGUACCUGGCUAAAAAGGCUUAGAGAAAGGCAAUGAGAGUUGAAAAAAAAAAAAAUUGAAGACUCAUGCUUUAUCGGCUUAUACGAACAAUUCAAAGCCAUUCGGUGAUUCUAAUCUCAAUGAGAAAGGAGGAGGAUGAAGAUGAAGAUGAAGAUCGAUGAAGACGAAGAUGAGGAUGAGGAUACAUGAUCAAAAAGAAGGUGGCACCCAACCACAACUCCAAGGACGAUACUCUGCAGCAAACCGUUAGGCGCAACUUCCUGCACGAUUCAGGGAGCAAGGCAGAAUAUAGUAUUGGCAACAACGUCAGAGAGGGGGUGAAGAAUAUUGUGUGUCGUCUCUGGUCUUUCUCCUCCUCAGUGGAUUUCCUCUUCUCCUUCUUGGAAAUCUUCCCCUUCCCUUACUCUUAGUUUUGUUGAAAUAUUUAUUUAUGGAUUAACAUUAAUUAAUAAGUUUAAAUAGAUUGGUCUUUAUUAUCUUGUAUGGAUCGUGAUAGCUGGA